rnacentral:rRNA from 1 species
UACGGGGGGGGCAAGCGUUGUUCGGAAUUACUGGGCGUAAAGGGCUCGUAGGCGGCCAACUAAGUCAGACGUGAAAUCCCCGGGCUUAACCUGGGAACUGCAUUUGUGACUGCAUCGCUGGAGUGCGGCAGAGGGGGAUGGAAUUCCGCGUGUAGCAGUGAAAUGCGUAGAUAUGCGGAGGAACACCGAUGGCGAAGGCAGCUCGCUGGGACGUGACUGACGCUGAGACGCGAAAGCGUGGGGAGCAAACAGG